rnacentral:lncRNA from 1 species
UAUGUUAUCAGUUUACAAAAUGAAUGAAAAAAAAUGUCCAACUCUCCAAGGAACCAGAAAGAUGUGCAGACUGGAUCAUUCUGGUGAGGGGACUUGUGGCAGCCUGGAAGAAGAACAGUGUUGAGACCGAAAGCAUGUGAUGUACAGGCGUGGAGAUUUUGACGAGUUGUUCAUAAAAAACAAAGGGAAAAGACAAGAACAAUAUUGUGAGUCUUCUUGGCUUCUAAAAAGAGAUGGCCGGGCCUGGUGGCACACAUCUGUAAUCCCAGCACUCGGGAGGCUGAGGCAGGAGCAUCACUGUGAGUUCGAGCCCAGCCUGGGCUACAUAGUGACUUCCAGGUCAGUCUCAACUAUACAGUGAGACCCUGUCUCAAAAAAACAAAAUAAAUAACUAGACAAAC